CCCAGCUGAUAUCCCCCAUUCCUCUAAAAUUCCCCACUGAUAUCCCUCAUUCCUCUAAAAUUCCCCACUGAUAUCCCCCAUUCCCCUAAAAUUCCCCACUGAUAUCCCCCAUUCCUCUAAAAUUCCCCACUGAUAUCCCCCAUUCCCCUAAAAUUCCCCACUGAUAUCCCCCAUUCCCCUAAAAUUCCCCACUGAUAUCCCCCAUUCCUCUAACGAUGAGGGAAAGCCAAAAGUCAGGGAUACCAGAAUACAGGGAAGUCAAAACAAAGUCAGUAACCAGAAACAAACACUCAGGAACACACUCUCGGAUAACCUACUAAGGGAAACCACGACAGGGCAAUGAGCAGAAGUAAAAAUGUGUUUAAAAUAAGCCUCCUACAGAUUCGAUUUGCCGUAACCUGCCUUUGACCCCAGAACGCGCAGGUGUGUCUUUUGCGUGACGUCACACGCACGCUGAGGUCAUCAUUGCCGUGGGCGGACAUGGAGCUAUAAUAUGGCAUGGAUCCGCAGCGGCCGGCAUCCACCAACAUGUUGCAGGAAUCAGGUAUACCGGCACAAGGUGUUUGAUAGUAAUGUUUCCCUGUUUAUCC